rnacentral:rRNA from 1 species
AUUGAACGCUGGCGGCAGGCCUUACACAUGCAAGUCGAACGAGUGGCGGACGGGUGAGUAAUGUCUCGGAACCUGCCCGGUGGAGGGGGAUAACUACUGGAAACGGUAGCUAAUACCGCAUACUAUCGGAUGUGCCCAGAUGGGAUUAGCUAGUAGGUGGGGUAACGGCUCACCUAGGCGACGAUCCCUAGCUGGUCUGAGAGGAUGACCAGCCACACUGGGACUGAGACACGGUCCAGACUCCUACGGGAGGCAGCAGUGGGGAAUAUUGCACAAUGGGCGCAAGCCUGAUCCAGCCAUCCCGCGUGUAUGAAGAAGGCCUUCGGGUUGUAAAGUACUUUCAGCGGGGAGGCGUUACCCGCAGAAGAAGCACCGGCUAACUACGUGCCAGCAGCCGCGGUAAUUC